AGGUUUUUGCCAACGAAGACAAACAGGGAGAUGAAGAUGAAACACAGAGACAUAAAAGAGUCGCUUAGGGAAAUGAUAAAGAGAAGGGAGAAGGCAAUUAAAGCAGGGGAAGAGAGCAAUGAGGACUUGUUGGACAUACUUGUGGAAUCCAAUAUCAGAGAAAUGGAAGCAAAGAAUAUGGGGAUGAGCAUUGAGGAUGUGAUUGAGGAAUGCAAGCUGUUUUACUUUGCUGGCCAAGAGACCACUUCGGUCUUACUGGUGUGGACUAUGGUUUUAUUAGCAAGGUAUCCCGAUUGGCAAAGUAAAGCAAGAGAGGAGGUUUUGCAUGUUUUGGGUGACAAUAAACCUGAUGCUGAUGGCCUUAAUCGUCUCAAAGUUGUAAGUCCCUAGCAUGUCUUUUGAAGGUCCGAUCAAUGAGGUCGACAACUCAAAAACUUUGUUUCUUUUUUCGCUAAUUCUACAGGUAACGAUGAUAUUGUACGAGGUUCUAAGGCUGUACCCACCGGUGGUUGAGCUAGGACGUUCCGUUCCAAAAGAAAUAAAACUGGGGAAUUUGUUGUUACCAGUAGGAACAGAAGUUUCGGUUCCGAUCCUGCAGAUCCACCAUGACAAAGAUCUUUGGGGUAACGACGCACGGGAAUUUAAGCCAGAGCGGUUCGCGGAAGGGGUUUCCAAAGCAACAAAGAGUCAAGUCACGUUUCUGCCAUUCGGAUGGGGUCCUAGGAUCUGUAUUGGCCAAAAUUUUGCUUUGAUGGAAGCCAAAAUGGCGAUGGCUAUGAUUCUCCAACGCUUCUGGUUCGAGCUUUCCCCUUCCUAUGCUCACUCUCCUUACAGCAGGGGAACUCUUCGUCCACAGCAUGGUGCACAGAUAAUUUUACAUAAACUUGGCUGUAAUUGAAUUGUUAUGUAAACAAAUCUUUGUGAAAACAUAGCGUUUUAGUGUAUCGUCAAAGUCCGGUGUCUGUAAUGGUACAAAUUCGAUGCAUGAAUAGUAAAUUUUGAGAUGUUUGGUGAAGUCCGAAAUAAUAUGCAGAAAUUGAGCGUCUAUGGUGGACAUAGUUGAGGGACUAAUGUGGUAAUUAUCAAUCAAAUAAUUCGGUACAAAGACUUGUAUGGAAAUUAAAGCAGGGGGAGUUGAAAAUGACUACUCUGCUUUGGGCAUCAAUUUAGAAAGAUUUAAAGUACAACUGUGUUAUCAGUUAAGGGAUUUGUUUUAAAGAGGGAAUGACAAUUAAACCUCAUGGUUUAUUUGUGCAAGGGAACCGAUGAUGGGAUGAUUAUUCUUAGUGGUAAAAAAAACCAUUAUGGAGGUUAUUACACUUGUUAUCAUCAGCUUAAAAUUCGAAUGGGUUCAAGUCGGAUUAUAUCGAGCUUGUAAGAUGAGUUCACGGACCAAGUUUGCAUAAUAAAAUACCUAAAUGAAAAAAAAUUCUAUUUUAGAGGGACGAGAGCCCCUAUCAACUCCCGGCUCAGCCACUAAACAAUACCUAUAUCAUAUAAAUAAAUACCACCAUCUAAAAGACUCAAAGAAAAACACUCAACAAAGGAUAAAUAGAUAGAUGUUGGAUAAGUGUCCAAAAUAUGAUUUAAGUGAAGAUACAUGUGGUAGGUGUUACGGAAAUGUGAAGACAAGAAUCCCACUAACGUAUGGGAUGUGUGCAGUUGAAUGUAGGGAGCAAAAAGAGGAGUGAAUCAUUUUGGUAACAUUUGGACAAGAAACAUAAUGAACAAAAUGGAAGGAGAGGAAGCUAGUAAAAGAAUUUUUUUGGGUCAUAUAAUUUGUUCAUUUUGGAGUUGAAUUAUAAUUUUUUUAUAUAUUAUUUUAAAAUUUUAAGGAGUUAAAACAAAAUUAUUUUAUUUUCAGAUGGUCAAAGUAGAGGUGAUAAUGGGUUGGGCUAUUCGGCCCGGCCUGACGAUUCACUCGAAAAAUAGGAGGGUUUAGGUAAAAAUAUAGGCUCGAAAUAGGGAUUUGAGCAAAAAAAGAGUCCCGUUUAGAAAAUGGGCCAGGCCUCGGGUAAAAUUUUUUGGGCCCAAGCCUGACCUGAAUUAUAUAUUAAAUAUAUUUUUUAAUUUUUAAUCAAAUAUACUUUUUUUUAUUAAUUUGGUUAUUAUUUUAGUUCUAAUUUGUUUCAAUUUUAAUAUAACCACUUUUUAUUAUAUUUUCAAUUUGUGUAUUGUUUUAAGAAUUGUUUUAGUCUCAUUUUUUUAUUUAUUUUUUGUUUUAAUAAUUGUUUUAAAAAUUUUUAUUUAAUGAAAUAAGCUAAAAAAAUUAAUAUGGGCUUGGCCAGGCCAGGCUCGGGCCUAGUAAUUUUCUUUUGGGCCGGACUUAGAUAAAAUUUUAAGCCCAUAUUUUAAAUUGGGUCCUAACCUAAAAAAUGAACCUAAAAUUUUAUAUGGGCCCGACUUGGCCCUUGAUUACCUUUAGGUCAGAGCUAUCCUCGUUUUGCAUUUCUUUGAGAUUCAGCCUUAUCUACUGUGAUUGCCCACUCAAUUGAGGGUUGAGUAGAAAGAUUUGGUGAAGCAAGCUAAGCUAUCAAUCAAGGUUUGCAUAAUUAUUUAAAUGUAAUUCUAAUAUUAAAAUAAUUUUUUUAUUAAUAUAGUAUCAACAAGCAUUAAAUGUAAUGAUCAUAUACUAUUACAUUUUAAAGAAGAGAAAACAUGUUUGAACUUUAAAAACCACGUUACUAAAAACAUUAUCACAAACCUUGAAAUAUAAAAAAUAAUUUUUUUAAUAUAAUAAAAAAUUAAUUUUAAACCCGAGCUGAAUAAAAUUCUAAUUUUAGUUAAUGAUACGAACAACAAAUCAAUAUUCUAAGCCCGAGCCCUGCUCAUUUUUUUAAUAAACACCAAAAAUUUAUUUUGAAAAUAAAAAAUAAAAAAAAUAUUUUAAAAAUAUUUUAAAAAUAAAAAAAAUUAAAAAUAAAUAUUUAUUAUAUAUUCAGGCCGGGCCGGGCUAGCCUUGGGCUAAAAAAAUGGUGCCCGAGGCCCGGCCCAUUUUCUAAAUAGGCCUCAUUUUUUGUCCAAACCCAUAUUUUGGGCCUAUAUUUUUACCCGAACCUCUCAUAUUUUGGGCGGACCGUCGGGCCGGACCGGGCCGCCCGGCCAUGAACACCUCUAGGGCAAAGUCACUCAAUGAAUGCAUGGAAAGAAAUAUUGCAACUUGGUGACAGCUUUUGUUGGAGUUAUAUGCUUUUUUUUACAUAGUGGAACUUUCGGUGGAUUUUCAAGUUUCAUGAACUUUAUACCCUAGGCUUUACGUGAAAAAAAUCAUUGGACUUAAAAGUCUACCAAAAGUUUCACUAUAAUAAAUAAAUAAAUAAAUAACAUUGCUACAAGACUACAACAUAAAGUUACAAUAAGAGCUUAUAACUCAACAAAGGCUAUCAAUAAAUAAUCUCAAGCAAGCUAAAGAGAAAUGUUGAGAGUACCACUCAAAUAGUGAUUGACUUUAAAAAUUGAAAACCCGAAGUUAUUGUUGACACCAUUUUUUGGAUGAAAAUGUGUCGACUUGGGUUUUGAAAAUGAAAACGAAAACGAGAGUCGCCACCAAUCCUUUUUGAUAAGGUGUGACUGGGUCACCUUGAAAAGUGGUUGUUUUUAAUAAACGAUUUGAUUUUAUUAAAACAACAGUUUUGGUCCACGAAAUUCAGAAAAAUGAGUUCGGGAGUCGGUUACGCACGAGGAAGGAUUAGCACCCUCGAUACGCCCAAAAUUGGUACCUAGUUGAUUACUUAAUGUCUUAAUGUCGAAAAUUGAAAACUUUGGAGAAUUUUAAACAUACGAUCCUUGUAUUAAAACGUUAAAAAUUUUCAAGAAAAUGGGAUAUUUCACGUUAUUCGAUAAAGAGAAUCAUAUCCUAGUAAGUUAGGACACAAUAUCUCGAAUUUCCGAUAUCAUUUAAAACUUGAGUUUGAAAAGAUUCGUGUAAUAAAGUUUAAAAUAAUAUUCAAUUGUUUAAAUCAAAUGAAGAAAUCGCAACCCAAUACGUUAGGGCACAAUUUCUCAAAAUAUUAAACAUUGAAUAUUGCAUUUAUUUCGAAAAAUCCUCAUCUCGAGAAAACGUGUCACAUCCAAUGCAUUAGAAUACAACGUAUUGAAUUCUCGAUAACGAGCUUUUUCUCAUUUUUUAAAAGAGUAAUCUCGAUUAUUUAGGUUCAACGAAGAAAAUCAAAACCCAAUACGUUAGGGCUCGAUUUUCUCAAAGAUUCCAAAUACCGAGUAUUACUUAUAUUUUUAAAAUUUCUUUUUUGAAAUCCGAGUAAAAAUGAAUGCAAAAUAAUAAAUGAUGACAAUGUAAAUAAAAUGAUACAAGCAAAACAAUAAACAAUAAAAAUAAUCAUACGGGCAAGGUAACAAAUAAUUAGGAACUAAAGAAAGAGAACAAACAAUAAUAAACAUGCAAAUAAAUGAACAAAAUUAACAACAUGAUGCAAAUAUGAAAGAUAUAUAAGCACAUAUAUAUACAUAAAAUAAUGAGAAUAUGAAAAAAUGUGUGUAAUUGGACAUGUUUCGGAAUUAUUAUACAUUUAAAAAUCAUGUAAAUGUGUGUACAUACAUAUAUACAUAUAUAAUAAUCAUUAAAUAUAUAAAAAUACAUAUGUGUAGGUAUAUAUGAGUCAUAAAAUGUAAAGAAUAUAUACAAGAUAUAUUUUGAACGUAUAAAGUAUAUGUAAAUGUAUAUAUAUAAUAAAGGUGUAUGAAAGCAUAUUUUAUAUACGUGUAUUUAUAAAAUGUAUAUAAAUGUAUAUUGAUUUACCAAUACAUAUGGAUUUAUAAUUAUAGAAUAUAUAUAAAAUAUUUACAUAUAUACGUUUAUGCAUAUAUAAAAGUAAGUUAUUAUAAAAUAUGAGCAAGCAGAAUACAUAAAUAUAUAUACAUAAAAUAAAAAUGAAGAUGAAAAUAAUAUAAAACUACUUAAUAUAUUAAUAUAAUAGUAACAAAUUAAAAAAACAGAAAAUAAAGCUAAUAAUAAUUAAUAAUAGUAGUAAUAAUUAUAGCAGCAAUGAUAAUGAUAAUAAUAAUAACACUAAAAAAAUUAAUUAAAUAAUAAAAUUGCUAAAAAGGGAUUAAAUCGAAAUAAAAACAUAAAUACUGGGCGAUUUUGAAAUAAAAAACGGGAAGGACCGAAUUGCAACGCGCGUUGAAAAGGAAAGGGCCAAAACUGCAAAUAAACCACAGCCCCAAAACGCAGCGUUGAAAUGGACCAAGUCGAAAUAAAAAUAAAAUUGCAGGGGCUAAAUUAAAAAUAAGAGAAAAUAACGAAAAAUGAUCAAAUUGUAAUACGCUGCAAAAUCAGGGGGACUGCACGCGCAAAUAGCCCAAAAACUGAAAACACGCGGAUCCUCCGGGUCGGGUCGGGUCGGGUCAGGUCGACGUGCGGAUCCCCUUUGCUAAAACGGCGUCGUUUCAUGUUUAAUAUAAAUACUAAAAAAAGCUAAAAAAAACAGUUUCAUCUUUUUUUAAAAAAAACAGAGAGAAAACUCUCUCUUUUUCCCUCAGGUCCGGCCAUGGUCCGGCUUGGGAUUUCCGACGAGUCUCCGCCGCAAAGCCACCGUGUGUGGCGGCCGGAGGUUCAAAAUCAGACCUUUUUGGUCCUUUUUUAAAGUCCAUGGCCUCCAAGCCACAGAUCCGGGGCUGAAUCUCCUGAAUCGAAAGCCGAAGACCCAAAAAAUGGGGUGAAAUCCUUCGCCUUCCUCCCCCUUCCGGCGCUGCGCAGGUAAGGUUUUUUUUAACUCCUUUUUUACUAUCUUUAUUUAUAUAUAUACAUGAAGAGAAAAGAGAGCAAAAUAAAUAAAUAAAUAAAAACUUCAAAACUGAAGAGAAAAAGACCUUGAAUCUGCCUUAUUUAUUUUCUUUCGGUUGAAUCUGUUUUUGUUUGUUACAAAAGUUUCCAGGGAAGAGAAAAAAAAAGAGAGUUACAUGCUUGGCUUUUAUAGCCGAUAUUAAUUUCUAUUUUUUGUUUUCUUUUUCCUUUCUUUUCUUUGGCUGUUGCGUGUUUGCUUCCUUAUUGCAGGGUGAUUGACGGGAGUGGUUGGCGACAGAGUCGGUGGCCACUUGCACUGAUGAAGCAGCGGUGGCGGCGCUAGGGUAGGCUAGGGACGGCGGCAGUACUAGGGUUUCAGAAAACUGAAACCCUAGUUUGACAAAUUGGUUUCGGGCCUGUUGGGCUUUAAAUUAUGGGCUUUGUAAUUGGGUUUUGGGUUUAGGUGAUUUGGGUUUAGGUGGUAUGGGCCCGGGUCAAAUUUUGGGUAAUGGGAUUGGGGCAAAAUUGGGUUGUACAGUUAUAAUAUCCCAAACGAAAUCAAACUAUAAACAUUAAAUUUUUCGAGUCUUCUAGAUACUGUAAAAAAUUCAGCUCCAACGGACACCAAAUGAACCUAUGAUCGAAGAAAAUACGAAGACUAGUCUGGCUAAAUCAAUCUGCCAAACUUACUUUUUAUCUUAUCUUUAAUUUGCUGUGAAAUUCAAAACUACGUGUAAUACUCAAUUUAUGCUCGACCCAUUUUGUUAAAACAAAUAAAAAAGAAAAGAAAAACAAAAUAUUUAAAUUUAGCCCAAAUGUCCAUUUACACAGCCCAAUUACAAUUGCAAAUAAAAAAAACUAAAACUAAACCCGAUCCUAAGCAUCAGCCCAAAUUCGACCCAUGCCCAAAACGAAUUCAGAUGCAGAAACCCUAGCCCAGCCUUAAUGCAAGCAAAAGUCGAAAGCCCUAAUAGUUGGUGCGCCGCUCCUGUAACAGCCCGAUUUUGGGCCUAGUCGGAACAGUGGUUUUGGGACCACAAAUCCGACGAGAAAAAAAUGUAAUGGCCCGAAUUUUCAGAGGUGUCAGAACGGUGAUUCGAGAUCACUAAAUUCGACAAAUGGGUAGAAAAUAUUAUUAAUUUAGUAAGUAUAAGUUAAAUGUGAAGUUAGGAAAAUUUUUGAAAUGGUGAAUAGUACACUAGAAAUAAAUAUUAAAAUAAUUAGAAUCGAAAAUGAGGUAUCGAGACCUCGGGGAUUUUAAACCGAGCCAUAAAUAUUUUUAUAAAUAUUUAUGUAGUCUUAAAAAGUUAGUAUUAAAGUUUCGUUAAGAAAUUUUAAAGUUCCGAUAAUUAAUUGAACAAAAAGGACUAAAUUGUAACAAAUACAAAAUUAUGAGAAAUGAUUAAAUAGUUUAAAUGAUAAAAGGAAGAGGGCUUAAAAGGUAAAUAGACCCAAGGUCUAUUUGGGCUGCACGGCAAAGGCAUGAAAUCAGCAACAAAGUAAGGAGAAUUAAGGGCAAAAUUGGAAUAUUGCAAAAUUUACUUAAUAAAGUUAGGACCAAAGUGGAAUUAUCUAGAUUUCUCUUUAUUUUUCUGCAUUAUCAUCAGCAUAAACACCAUAGAAGGGUUUUCUUAAGCUGGUUCUUCCUAUUUUUACUGCAGGUAAGUUCAAUUCUUGAUUAUUUCUUGAAAAUUUUGUGUUUUUGUGACUUUUACAACUAGGCCCACUUAUUGUAUUCAUUAGUUUUUGAUUCUAUGAAAGAAGUUGAAAGUUGCUAUGAAUACAUGCUGGAAGUAUAUGAUGAUUUAGCAUGGAAUUAGAGCUUUAAAUUGUUCAUAUGCUGAUUUAUUGAAAGAAUUGAAUAGAAAGUGAAUGUUUGGGACCUAAUAGUAAAAGAGUUUGAAGAUAGAGUUAUAUGUGGAAAUUCUGAAUUUCAAUAGUUGUGAAACAACUUAUAAUGUCUAGGUUAAGUAUUAAUUGAGAAAAUUAAAUUAAUUGAGGGGUUAAUUGAGAAAGGACCGAAUUGUAUAAACUGUGAAAUUUGGGGCAAAAAGGAAAUCAACAUUUUACACUAAAGCAGUUUUGGACAGCAGCAGUAGUAUAACUUUGAAAAAUCACCAAAAAUUUUGAGAAUUGAAUUAGAGGGUGAAUAAAAUAUAAAAUUAAAGCUCCUUGAAUCUAGUUUCUCAUAGAAGAAACGGUGUAAGCAAUGGAAUUGUAAAUCAUGAGAUAUAAUAAAUUUUGUGAGACAAUGUCAUAAUGAUUUCGGGUUCCCCUAUUCUGACUUUGGAAAAUCAUCAAAAAAUUAAGAAAAAUAUGAGUUAUAAUUUAUAUGAUUACAAUCCUUAAUGAGUCUAUUUUCAAAGAAAAUAAACGGAAAUAUCAUCCAAAUUCUGUACAAUUAUAUAAUUCAUUUUUAGUGAAGAGUGGUCGAAACUGUCAGACAGCGAAAUAGGGGGAACUUUAAAGAAUAAACUGUACUAUUUGGCUGAACCAAAAAUUCUGAAAAUUUUAUGGUAAGAAGGUAUGUGAGUCUAGUUUUAAGGAAAAUUAACGGAUCUUAAUUUAGAGCUCUGUAGCUCUAGAUAAAAAUAAUUUAGUGACUCUGACUCAGAUAAAUAGCUUUGAAUGUACAUGUGAGUGAAUAGUGAAAUUAUAGCUAGUGUUGUUUAAGUGUGUUAUACACAUUAAGGAUAUGGAAUGGAGAGGAGGAGGAGGAGGAAAAAUUGGGAAAUAUAUGAAUGAUUUGUGUAUAAUUGGUCAUAUGCUUAAUUAUAAUUGAUAAACGAUGAAAUAGAAAUGAUGCAUAUAUUUGUGCAGUAUUGGUCAUGGUUUAAGCUCAUGUGGGAAAAUAAAGUUUAUAGUACGUGUGUAUUAUAUUUUUGGUAUAUGAUUUGGCAUUAAGUAAUGUCGUGAAUGGAUAUUGAAUUAACACAUGUUGGAAAGUUUGAUAUAUGAAUAAAUAUUGUGAUCAUGAAAGAGUGUUACAGCUCCUGCCUUCAGCACGCGUCGAGCCUCCGCGCCAAAUCCACGUGAGCCUCCGUACACUCCAACUAGCCUCCGUACCUGCAACAAACAAAAGUAGACAAAACAACAGCAAAGGAUAGGAAGAAAAGGCAGUAAAUAGUGAAGAUUUUUCUGUAAUUUUCUUUGGAUUUCAUUAUGUAUUUUCGGCUAUAAAAGAGCCAUUAGGAAUAUUUGUAAAGGGUUUUUUUUUUACCCUCACACACAAAGAGAAUAUACACGCAUACAAGAUCAAUAUAGAGAAAGAAAUAAAAAUAAAUAAAUACAAAGAAUAGAAAAUCAAGUUUCGAAGGUGAUUCUUUGAAAAAUCCUUUUCGUUUUUCUCAUUUUUCCUUUUUCCUGGAUCUUUUGUUCAUUUCAAGUAAAAAAAGUAUAGAAAGGAAACAAGUUUAGAGGAAGGAGGUUUACCUGGACGCCGGACCUCGCUCGCCUCGUCGAAAUCGAAGGCUGAGAGGGGAUAAAUCGGUUUUGCGGCAGAAGGAAAGGGGGGCUAGGGUUCUUGUUUUAACUUUUUUAAAAAAAAUAGAAAAGGUUGCUAAUUAGGUUUUAAUGGGGGAUUUAUGUGUGUUAAAAAAACGACGUCGUUUAGCGACCUUUGACCCGUGCGGUGACCCGACCCGAGGAAAGGAUCUGCGCGUUUUGGGUCUGAUGGGUUUAUUGCGCAACAAGCCCUUCCGCAUUUGUUUUUCGUUUCAAUUCGGUUUUUAUUUGUUUUUUAAUUGUUUUCUCAUAUUUAGUUCCAAUUUCAAUUGGGUCCAUGAUUAAACGACAUCGUUUUCAUUGAUUGGGUUUGAAGGCCUGGUUUUGUGCGUCUAAAUUGCAGCAAUGGUCCCCCUGAUGUGCAAUAGUUCUCGAUUUAGUCGUCUCCACACUUAUUUCAAAGUCGUCCUUGAGAUUUUGUUUUAUUUUUGAAAUUGUCCUUGUCUUCUUUUAAUUUAUAAUGAUAUUAUUAUUAUUGUUGUUGUUAUUAUUACUAUUAAUAUGGGUAUUGUUAUCAUGUUAGUUUAUAUCUAUUUAUUUACUUUUAUUUUAUUAUGUAUUAUUAUAUAAUGCUUUUAUCAUGUAUCAUUUUAUAUAUUUUCUAUGUUAAUCUAAUAUGAUAUAUAUAUAUAUAUGUAUUUUUGUGAUCUUAUUUUAUAAUACUUUUUUAACCCAUUUAUAUGCCUUUAUGUUUUAAAGAUUUAUAAUAUUUUGUGCAAAACUAUUAUAUAUAUAUAUAGAUAUACAAUUUAUAUUAGACCAUUUUUAUCGUACAUAUACGUAUAUAUAAUUUAUAUUUUGAAACUCUAUUUUAUUAUAUUUUAUGCCUCUAUAUACAUCAUUAUAUGUUUAUUAUUCUUUAUAUUAAACCUGCCAUUUCACUUAUAUAUUUUUAAAACCAAUGUGUAUUAUUCUUUCUUCUUUGUUAUUUUUUAUCUCUUAAAAUAGAUUGAUAAUUCAUUUAAUUUUUGAAUGUUGUAUGACCGAGAUUAUCGUUGCCAUUCUUGUCCAAAUUUAUCCAUUGCUUGUUCAUAUUAUUUGAUAAUUUAUCGCUCACUAGCAUGUAUCGUAAUUUACGAAUUAUCAUUUUGAAUUAUGUACUACCAUUCAAUCGCAUUACAUUUGUUUGGAAAACAUCGAAAUCGUUUUGCACAUAAACCUUCAAAAUGCUUGGUAUCCAAAAUUCUCGAGAGGAUUGUGCCCUAAUUUAUUGGGCUUCAAUUCCCCUUUUUGAUUUUAAAUAACCGAAUACCCCUUUUUCAAUUUGAACAUAGAAAUUCCAAAAUAAAAAAAAACUCAUUCUCGGGAAUUUGAUGCGUUGUGUCCUAACGUAUUGUAUAUGACAUAUUUUUCUCGAGACGAGGAUUUUUCUAACAAAUAAAAAUAAAGGCAAUAUUCGAUAUUUAGGAAUUUUGUGAAAUCGAACCCUAACUUACUGGGUUUUGAUUUUUUCAUUUGACCCAAGUAGGAUAUCCUUCACAAAUGCACAGAUUUUAAAAAAUCAAAAGAUAAACUUAAUUUCGAGGAUUUAAAAUGUUACACUCUGACUUACUGAGUGUGUCAAUUUAUUUCUUUGAAAUAAGUGAGUCUUAUCAUCCAAUUUAUUUUAUUCAAAUUUUCUUUUCCAAGGAUCGUAUUUUAAAAUUUUUUCAAAAUUUCGACAUUAAGACAUUAAGCAAUCAAUUCAGUACCAAUUUUGGGCGUCACGAGGGUGCUAACUCUUCCUCGUGCGUAAUCGACUCCCGAACCAGUUUUCUCAAAAUUCACAGACCUAAAAUUAUUUUCAAGGUGAUCCGAUCACACCACAAUAAAAGAUCAGUGGUGACUCCCAUUCCUAUUUUUAAAAGUCGAUUCCUGUUUUUCAUAUAUAAAAAAAUGGUUUCGACACUACGGUUUUGUUUGUUUCCCUUAGAACAACUUUCAAAAAGUUAAUUUUGAAAAAUGGAUUGAAUUUUCAAAAUAGAUGAUAUUUUUUUGUGUUAAAAUUUUAUUCGUUGUUUGAAAAAAAAAUUUAAAUCAUUUUCUUAGAAUUAUUUUUAGUGAAACAAAUAUAUCAUAAAUAUAUUUGUUAUAAAAUAUUAUAUUAAUAUUUUCUUUUAACAAUUAAAAUAUAUUUUGUGAUAAGGUAAUAUUUUAUAAUAAUUAAUAUCAUAUAUACUUAAUAAUAAAUCAUGUCUAAUUAAAAUUUAAUUUCAAUUAAAUAUAUUAAUAAAGCUACAUUUAAUCAUAUUUUAUAUAAUUAAAAUAUUAAUAUAAAUAUUUUUCAAUAAUAUAUUAAAGAAUAUUUAAAAUUUAAAUUUAUUAUUACUAAGAUUAAUUAUUAAAACAAAAAUGUAAUAUUAAAUAAUUUAUCCAAUGAUAAGUUAUAUUAAUAAUUUAUUAUAUUAUUAAAUAUAAAUAAUUAAAUAUGUAUGUUUAAUAAUAUUAUGUUAUAAUAUUUAUUACUAAUAUUUUAAUAUUUUUAAACAACCAUGUUUUAAAGAUGGUGGUGAUGGUGAUGGUGCAGGCCCCCUUGUUAAAAUUACAAUAUUUUUAAGUGGGAUGCAUGUAAUAUAUUGUUAGGGUUUUAGAGUAUGUGGUCUUUAAAAGGGUUAAAUUAUAUAUUUAUAUAAUAUGAUUAUUGUUUAUAAACAUAAUAUUGUAGAUAAGUUUAUAUGUAUGUCAAUAUGUAUCCUACUCUAAGGUUAAUAUGUAUUUUUUAGAUGUGGGUUUACCUAUAUAAUAGUAUGAAUCCAUCAUGUGGUCUCAUGAAAUAUACAAACACAUAUCGUGCGAACACAAAGUACGAACAAUAAAAAAUACAAAUCAAGACCCAAUUGAAUAAUUGAAUAACGGAUAGGUAAUAAUGAAUAUCAUAACAUUUACUAUCCCCUCUUUUCUAGUGAGUUAUUGUUUAUGAUAAAUUUGCAACAAAUGUUUUUAUCAUUAUUUUGUUGGUAAAUGAUAAUAAGAUUAAACAUUACUUUCUUAAGCUCCUUCAAUUCUUUGGACGUUAGCGAGUAAACUUGAGCUUCAGCAUUCCACAAACACCUUAAUUUGAAGACACAGUUCUCUCAUACUAAAAACGACAUGGACGUUUACCUUGUAAUUAGAGAUUUGGGCUCAUUGUUGGGUUAUUAAUGAUACGGGGAUGGAGAGCUUUAAACUGGGUAUGGUUGGCCCCAAAGAGGCUCGAAACGUGCUUGAGACUAGAGGUGAUCAAGGGCCGGGUUAGGCCCAGUCUAGAAAAAAAAUUAGGCCCAUUUUUUAGAUUUGAACUCGGCUCGGCUCAAAAUAUAAGCUUAAAAAUUUGUCUAAGUUCAGUCCGAAAGAAAAUUGUUAAGCCCAAGCUCGACCCAUAUUAAAUUUUACAACACCAAAAAAGUAUAUUUAAAUAAAAAUAAAAUAUAUAUAUUUAAUAUAUAAUUCGGGCCGAGCUGAACUCGGGCCAAAAAAGUUUUACUCGGGGCUGGUCCGUUUUCUAAACAGACUUCGUUUUUUUUGCCAAAAUCCAUAUUUUUACCCGAAUCUUCCUAUUUUUUGGGGUGUGCCGUCGGGCCGAACUGGGUAACCGAACCAAUGAUCACCUCUGUAAUCACUGAAUUUUGUCCGGGAAUAACUUUCGUUAAAAAAAUUUUAAAAUUAAAAAAAAAUUAACUUUUUUGCUUUUUGACCCCUAAACUUUUCUAAAAUUUCAUUUUAACCCCUAAACUUUCUCAAAAUUACAGUUCAACCCCUAAACUUUUCUAAAUUACAUUUUGACCCCUAAAAUUUCUUAAAAUUACAUUUGGACCCUUACACUUUCUCAAAAUUACGUUUCGGCCCCAAAAUUUUUGCUACAUUUACAAAUUGGUCCUUCUGUCAGAAAAUCCCCAAUAAUCCGGCGGAUUUCGUGCACCUGCCCCACUAUUUCCGGCAGCCGGCCUAGGGCAUGGCCUUCCCCACCUGCUACCUGCAAACAAGAAGCAAAAUCAACUAUAAAAAGGAGUUUAAACUCCAAAAAUCGGACCCCCACCCACGAAAAAAAUAAAAAAAAAAAACUUGAAAGAAAAAGAAAAAAGCUUUGAGAAAGAAAAAGAAAAGGAAAAGAAGAGAGGGGAGAAGGAGAGGCCGACCAUCGGCGAGCCACCGGAGGAGGCGACGGCAGCAGCGGCAUCGACGGCGGCGUAGAAGACCGAACGGAGAAGAAGAAGAAGAAGAAAAAAAAAGAAAGAAGAGAAAGAAAGAAGGAAGAAGAAGAAGAAAGAAACAAAAAAAAAAGAAAAUAUUUUGUAAUAGUCGGCCCGGCCCGACUCGACCUGCACGACCCGUGACCCGACCCGACAGCACCAGCAACCUAGCAGGCCACGGUAGCAGCCCGGCGGCCCAAAGAGUAGCCCAAAAAGAAAAAAAGAAGAAGAACAAAGCAAAAAAAAAAAGCAGGCCAUUUUCAGCAGGCCCAGUGCAGCCCAGCAGACCCAGCGAACCCAGCAGGCCAGGCCCACACGCAAGCAGCCCAACAGAAAAAAAGGGAAAGAAAAAGAAAAGAAAAAAGAAAAAAGAAAAAAGAAGAAGAAGGGGUUCAAUUUGUAUUAUCCGUUCGGCGAAGCUCGUGUUUUGAGGAUUUUUUUUCGGUAAUUUUAUUUUUUAAUUUUAAUUUAAUGCUCGUAUUUUUUUUAAAUAUUAUUAGUAUUUUAUGCAUUUUUAUAUUUUGGCAUUUAUAUUUUUAAUUUAAUUUACUUCAAUUUUUAUUUUAUUUUAUUUUAAAUAAUUUUAAUAAAUGAGGCAACGAAUCGAUUUAACAUAAAAUCGUUGAUUUCAUUGCUAUGUUGGGUGAAUAUCAUCGGUUUGUGUUAAACACGAUACACCCUUUUUAAAAAAAAGAAAAAAAUCGAAAAAAUUCUAAAAUUCUCAUUUUUUUAAAAUUCUCGUGUUUUAAUAGAAUCACGAUUAAAUAUUAAGUUGAAUCGAUUUGGCACUAAUUCGAUGAUUUCAUCUCCAUGUAGGGAUGAAUAUCAUUUAUUCGUGUUAAAUAUGGUACUUCUGAAAAAAAAUCGGGUUUCAAAAAUUUUCGUGUUUUCAAAAAUUCUCAUGUUUCAAAAAUCUUCGUGUUUUAAAAAUUCCAGUGUUUCAAAAAUUUUCGUGUUUUCAAAAAAAAAUUUCUCGUGUUUUUAAAAAUUCCCGUAUAUCGAAAUUUUCUUGUUUUCAAAAAAAAAAUUCCAUGUUUCAUAAAUUUCCGUGUUUUCAAAAAAAAAUUCUUGUUUUUCAAAAAUUUUCGUUUUUAAAAAAUUUGACCGUGUUUCAUAAAUUUUCGUAUUUCAAAAAAACCUCGUGUUUCAAAAUUUUCGGGUUUUUUUAAAAACAAUUCGUGUUUCUAAAAUUCUCGUAUUUUAAAAAAAAUCGUGUUUUCAAAAAAAGAAAAAGUUGUUGUGCUUUAAAAUUAUCGUGUUUCAAUCGGAUCACGAUUAAUAUUAAAUUGAACUCGUAUUUUUGAAAAUGAAAACAACGCGCGUUUAACGAGAUACCAAUUUUGGGCGUCGCGAGGGUGCUAAUACCUUCCUCGCGCGUAACCGACUCCCGAACCUUAAUUUUCUCUGAAUUUUUACGUGGACCUAAAAUUACCUCUUUUUAGAAAAGUUUAAAAAUGAAUUUUUCUUCUAAAAAGAGAAUUUUGUAGGUGUCCGAUCACACCUAAAAAAAGAUCGGUGGCGACUCCUUUUUUUCAAAUAAAAUCGAGAUUCAGUUUUCAAGUUUUUAAUAAUUACUUCGACAAGCGCCCGUGCGCAAAAUUUUUAAGUCGCUACAGCCUCUACUUGAGACAACAGGGUUUUGCAGGGAAUUCUUACAGGUUCGUUUCUGGCGACAAAAAAGAGCUCUUCACUAUAAGCAUACAAACAAGAGCCAAAACUAUGCCUCUUAGUGAUGAUAUUAGGCCUUAUGUUAUUCCUUUUCAACAUCAAACCGUCAACCGGUAUGGUAUGUUUUUUUUAUUUAAUCUGCAAUUUGUGAUAAUUCUUUGUUAUUUAUGUAUGGAAUUUAUUGGGAGGAAAUGCUGGAAAGAAUUCAUUUACGAGAAUUGGUCCAAGAUCAAGGGUGAACAUUACGGACCCUGAAAAAUAAGAGAAAUACUUAACAAAUUUAAUGACUUCCAGAAGAUACGUACCAAUCCACUGCUUAAUUUGCUUGUAAGCGGCCUUGUUAACCUCGAAGGAGACCGAUGGAGCAAGCAUAGAAAAAUCAUAACCCUUGCAUUUCAUCAAGAUAAGUUGAAGGUAUAGAAUAGUAAUGGGUACUCAAGACUUUAAAGAAAACAUCAUACUUAAGCCUAUGCUUUUCUGAUUUAGAAAUAAUUGGAUGCAGAAUAUGUUGCCAGCAUUUUAUCAAAGUUGUAGUGACAUGUUUAAGCAAAUGGGAGAAGAUGGUGUGUACAGAAGGAUACAUUGAGUUAGAUGUGUCGCCUUAUCUCGUAGAUUUGACAAGAGAUGUUAUUUCCCGAUCUGCUUUUGGAAGCAGCUUCGAAGAAGGCAAACGAAUUUUCCAAUUACUAGAGGACCAACUCGUUCUCACAAUCAAAUUAAUACAAACUGUUUACAUUCCAGGAUGGAGGUAACCGUCUACUUUAAUUUACUUGAAAAAGGUUGCAAAUGUUGGAAUUGGCUAAAUUCGUGUUUGUUUUCUUGAAGGUUUUUGCCCACAAAGACAAACAGGGAGGUGAAGAUGAAACACAAAGACAUAAAAGAGUCGCUCAGGGAAAUGAUAAAAAGAAGAAAGCAGGCAAUUAAAGCAGGGGAAGAGAGUAAUGAGGACUUGUUGGACAUACUUGUGGAAUCCAAUAUCAGAGAAAUGGAAGCAAAGAAUAUGGGGAUGAGCAUUGAGGAUGUGAUUGAGGAAUGCAAGCUGUUUUACUUAGCUGGCCAGGAGACCACUUCGGUCUUACUGGUGUGGACUAUGGUUUUAUUAGCAAGGUAUCCCGAUUGGCAAAGUAAAGCAAGAGAGGAGGUUUUGCAUGUUUUGGGUGACAGUAAACCUGAUGCUGAUGGCCUUAAUCGUCUCAAAGUUGUAAGUCCCUAGCAUGUCUCUUGAAGGCCCGAUCUCUGAGGUCGACAACUCAAAAACUUGGUUCUUUGUUUCGCUAAUUCUACAGUUAACAAUGAUAUUGUACGAGGUUCUAAGGCUGUACCCACCAGUGAUUGAGCUAGGACGUUCCGUUCCAAAAGAAAUAAAACUGGGAAAUUUGUUGUUACCAGCAGGAACAGACGUUUCGGUUCCAAUCCUGCAGAUCCACCAUGACAAAGAUCUUUGGGGCGACGCCGCACGGGAAUUUAAGCCACAGCGGUUCACGGAAGGGGUUUCCUAAGCAACAAAGAGUCAAGUCACGUUUCUGCCAUUCGGAUGGGGUCCUAGGAUCUGCAUUGGCCAAAACUUUGCCAUGAUGGAAGCUAAAAUGGCGAUGGCUAUGAUUCUCCAACGCUUCUGGUUUGAGCUUUCCCCUUCCUAUGCUUACUCUCCUUACAACAUGGCAACUCUUCGUCCACAGCAUGGUGCACAGAUAAUUUUACAUAAACUUGGCUGUAAUUGAAUUGUUAUGUAAGCAAAUCUUUGUGAAAAUAUAGUGUUUUAGUGUAUCGUCAACGUCUGUCUGUAAUGGUACAAUUCCGAUGCAUGAAUAGUAAAUUUUGAGAUGUUUGGUGAAGUCCGAAAUAAUAUGCAGAAAUUGAGUGUCUAUGGUGGACAUAGUUGAGGGACUAAUGUGGUAAUUAUCAAUCAAAUAAUUCGGUACAAAGACUUAUAUGGAAAUUAAAGCAGGGGGAGUUGAAAAUGACUACUCUGCUUUGGGCAUCAAUUUAGAAAGAUUUAAAGUACAAAUGUGUUAUUAGUUAAGGGAUUUGUUUUAAAGAGGGAAUGACAAUUAAACCUCAUGGUUGAUUUGUGGAAGGGAACCAAUGAUGGGAUGAUUACUCUUAGUGGUGAAAAAAAAACUAUUAAGGUGGUUAUUAUAGUUGUUAUCACCAGCCUAAAAUUUGAAUAGGUUCAGGUCGGAUUAUAUUGAGCUUGCAAGAUUAGUUCACGGACCAAACUUGCAUGAUAAUAGGUAUUCACAACAAGAUAUCUAUAGUUUCCAACAAAGUCACAUGUGAGAUCGUGCAUUAGAACCGCAUAAACAUGUUUUAUGUUUAGAAUAUGAUAUGUGUCUAUGUGUAUAGAAUCUACCUAAUAUAUCAUAUUAAUGAAUAGUAUCAAUUGCGGAGCCAAAAAAUUAUUUGUGAGGGGUCAGAAUUAAAUUGUAUAUUUUUACAAAAAUAAAAAUUAAAUUUCACUAUUUUAAUAGUUUAUUUAUUUUUAAUUUUUAAAUGAUUAAAUUAAAUUUUAUAAAUUUUUAGGAUCAAAGUAUAAUUUUAUCAUUACUAAUUUAAAAUUUUAUAAAUUAUAAAAAGUUUAUAUGAAAAGUUUUCUAUUUUAGGGUGGCCAAAGCCCCUGUCAACUUCUGACUCGAUCACUUGCGGUUAGUUGGGUAAAGACUCAAGAAAAAUAGCGGUGUGUUUGGAUGGACGGUGCGUUUACUUGCGGUUAGUGUAAAAAUAGCGGUGGCGGUGAGAUUAGAUACUAUAGCAACACUGUAGCGUGAGACAAAAAGUAAGUUAAACGCACUGCACUGCACUUAAUCGUCUAUCUAAACUCACCAUAAGUGUCUAAAAUAUGAUUUAAGUGAAGAUACGUGGGGUAGGUGUCAUGGAAAUGUAAAAAAAAAAAAGAAUCCUACUAAUGUAUGGGAUGUGUACAAUUGAAUGCAGGAGUGAAUCAUUUGGGUAACAUUUGGACAAGAAACAUAAUGAACAAAAUGAAAGGAGAGGAAGCUAGUAAUAAAAGAUUCUUUUGGGUUAUAUAAUUUGUUUGGCAUAUAUUUUUAUAAUAUUUAAAUAUCAUUUUGGAGUUGUUGAAUUAUAAUUUAUUUUUAUGUUUUAAAACAUAAUUAUUCUAUUUUUAGAGGUCAGAGUAGAGGUGAGCAUGAGUCGGGCUACUCGGCUCGGGCUGAAGGCUUGCGCAAAAUGUGAGAGAUUUGGGUAAAAAUAUAGGCCCGAAAAAUGAGUUUAGACAAAAAAAAAUAUAAGGCCCGUUGAAAAAACAGGCUAGGCCUUGGGUAAGGCAUUUUGGCCCCAGACCCGGCCCAACCCAAAUUCACUAAGGGCACGUUUGGUUCGCUGUAUUGGAAUAGAGGCGUAAUGUAAUAGAGGCGUAAUGGAAUAGAGACGUAAUAGCAAAUCAAUUGUUUGGUUGAAUGUAAUGGAAUAGAGGCGUAAUAGUAUUCUUAUAUUUGGUUGAAUGGAAUAGAGUUGUAAUAGCAUAAGGAAAAAAGUUAAAAUGACUAGAAUACCCUUAGCAGAAAUUUGUUUAGAUAAAUGAUUAUUGUUAUUGUUAUUAAAUUUUAAUAAGAUUAUUAAUAUCAGUAAUAAAUAAUUUAAUCAUAUUUUAACAUAAUUAUUAUUAAAUAUAAUUUAAUAAAAAUAUAUAAUUUAAUAAAAUUCUUAAUAUUAAAUAUUCUUAAUAUUAAAUUACUAAAAUCAUAAUAUAUAAUACUAUAAAAUAUAAUUUAACAUAAUUAUUAUUAAAUAUAAUUUAAUAAAAUUCUCAAUAUUAAAUAUAUUCUUAUAUGAAUUUACUAAAAUCAUAAUAUAUAAUACUAUAAAAUAUAAUUUAAAAUAAUUAUUAUUAAAUAUAAUUUAAUAAAAAUAUAUAAUUUAAUCUAAAGUUUGAAUGUGUAUUUACCUAGCAAAAAUCAAUGAACUCUCGUGUAACUAUAACCUUAAUAAUAUAUGAUGUAUAAUUAAUAUUUCGUGACUAAUUAAUAGCAUAGAGAUAAAUAUAGUAAUGACGAAUUUAUAGUAUACGAUUAAAAUGCUAAUAAUUUAUAGUAUACAAUUAAAAUAUUAUAAAUAAAAUAAUAGUAAAUGAUAUAUAAGAUAAAUUAACAUAUAAAUAAUUCAGAUAUGUAAAGGAUAUGGCUGAAUAUGGUUGCUCCAAUAAUAAAGGAUAUAUAAUAUAUCAUGGUGUUGUUUUGUUUAGAUAGUUCGGUAACUUAGGAGGGUAUGUAUGAAGAACACAAGUUGAUGCAGAUAGAAAGACGACAAUAUUACAUGAUUACAAUAUGAUAUAGUAUAUAUAUAUAAUUUAUGGAUUCCUUGCAAUCACGUGGGUUCUCUAGCCAUUUUAUUUAGCAUAUCCAGUGAUAUUAAGAUCCAGAAUUAUAAUACAACUAAAAUCUGUGCACACUUAUGGAUGAUCCAACAAAGCCUCAGUUGGCUUUAGGUUCCAAAUCUUGCAACCCACAAACCAUAUUUGCUGGCACUGCAACAUCAAUCAUCUUAGGAUAUGCCAAGUUAAGAUCUGUUGCACCAACAAAAACAGAGGAGAAAUUGGAAGGCGAUCCGAAAAAACCCAAGGAUGCUUUUUCUUUUCUUUUUUUUUUAUAAUCUUUAUAGACUGGUUAUAUUGAGCAUCAACUUACUUUCCAUGAUGUUUUUGAAAGUCUCUUACAAAAAGGGUAUUCAACAAAUAAUAUAAUCAGACAUAUUGAUAGGACAAAUUGAAACUAGUAUUCUAUGAUCAUAAUAAAGAGUAAUCUUUAAUCAAAUGCGUGAAGGUAUUGAGAUGUCAUGCUUUUUCAUGAUUUCCUGUUUUACCAUGGCGAUGUUCAUUGGAAUAGUCCCAUCCAAGAGAAUCAAACCAAUGCUCAGCAAGAAAUGUUCAAUGCAUAUGUAAUUUUAAUUACAGAAGUUAUAUGCAGCUUAUAUGAGUUCAAGAUCAUAAAAUACUUCAUGGACAAAAGGAAACCCUUUCUUAUCACUGAAAUGAAAAUAGGCACUCUUAAUUUUCUAUUGUCAAAAGUAGCAAGCCAUUUUCCAAAGAAAAGGGAAGAUGGAUGGUUCCAGAAAGAAUACCUCAUCCUUUGUCAAGUGUGGAUUAUAUAGCAUCUCCUCUCCCACAGUGGUUACCUAUAAUCAAUGAGGUUUAUAAAAUCGAGCAAUCAUUUAUAUAUGUAAGAAAUGAUAGGAAUAAAGUUUUAUAUCUUACUGAGAAUCCUUUGUAGUCAUGAGCUGGAUAUAGCAAUGUCUCUUUCGGUAAUGUAAAAAUCUGGAUCCAUGAAACAAAUAAGUCCAUAAAUUUUAUUCAAAUUUUGACAAUUACAAUAAAAUUUUGAGAACUCAAAGAAUGUGACCAUAAAAAGUCCCCUGUCCUUACCUGUGAAUGCACUGACUUGUAGAGUUGCUGUGAACUUCCACCCUGCAAAAUGCAUUAAUCAGUGCUAGUCAAUGGCUACUGAAUGUGGGAGCAUUAGAGAAAAUUAUCUUAAAAACUUAAGUAUAACAAAAUUAGACAAUGACAUCCAGAUGGAAAGAAAUUGCCAGCAUAUAAGACCAGCAUUUAUGUACUCACGACUGAAAAUCCUUUGCAAAAAGUAUAGCCCUGAUAGUUCAAACUUUUACUUCAAGGAUGAUUUAAUUACUGAUUAGUUUGCCAUGAGGCUUGUGAAUGACAAACACUUUAUGUGCAACCACAGUAACAAGGUAAGCACCAAUAAGUAGAAGACUAGACGAAUAGGUAACCAAGAGUUAGAGCUAAAACAGACAAACAGAGCUACUAUCCAAUGAGCUAAAACAUACAAACAGAGGUAUAUUUUAAUAAUGAAAAUAAUCGAUUGCCUUAAACACCAUAUAGUGUUCCAAUCAAUCAAAUUAUAGCAGGCAUUAAAACCUUUCCCUUUCGUUAAUUCACAACUAUUAGCUUCAUUAAUCAAAUCCUAUGUACAGUUGAUCGAUUGAAAGUGUAACAUUUCAAAGACGAAAUUUAAACGCAAAACUGGUUAACAUUGAAAUUACAUGUAAAUAUAACCUAAAAAAUCAAAAAAUUAAUCAUAUUUUCAGAUUUCAGGCCGAAAUGGAAUGAAAUGAAAGGUAAAUCCAUUUUUUCCCCAAAAAAACAAAAAUAAAGAAAUAAUAUUUCAAGAACAGAUCAUUAAAUUCAUGGUAUAUAUAAAGAAAUUUAAUUGAAAUCAAAGGAAUAGAAGAAGGGAAAAGCGUACUUGGAACCAUUGCUGCUACUCUCUGUUACUCUGUUACCUCAUACGAUUCGUUAAAGGGUUGUUAGGGUUUGUUAAAAGGUUGGUCAGGAUAGAAGCAUGAAAAGGAGGGAGAAGGUUGGAAGGAAAUGGGAAGAAAAAUGAAAAAAAGAAGAAGAUGCUGCAACGGCUUGGAGGGUAAAAGAGGACCGAUUAGGUAAUCCUUUCUUUUGGAAGGGAUUACAAAUCGGCGCUGCAUAAGGGAAAAUGGGGAAUCAGUGCGCUGCGUAAUAGGCCCGUAUUAAGGCAAUACAGCCAACCAAACAUGGUAAUCAGUGGGGCCACGAAUUAGGGGUGUAUUGGCUAAUCCAAUACACCCAACCAAACAUGCUCUAAAGGACAAAAAAAUUUGAUUUUUUAAAUAUUAUUUUCUCUCUAUUUUGCUAUCAUUUUACUAUUAUGUUGCUACUAUGUUAUUGUUAUUUUUGAAUAUUGUAUAAAACUUAUUUUAUUGUUAAUUUUGUUAUUAUUUUAAAGACAUUUGUUAAUUUUGUUAUUAUUUUAGAGACAUUUGUUUGUUAAGUUGCAUCUAUCUUAGUGUUAUUUAAGUAUACAUAUUUUUUAAAAUUUAUUUUCAAUUUAUUGGGAAAUAUUUAUUUUGAUGUUUUUAGUAUUUUGGAUGUAUUAUAUAUAUUAAAAUUAUAUAAAAAUUAAUAUGGCCGAGCCAGGUCAGGCCCAGAUUUUAGCAUUUUUAUUCAGGUCGGGCUUGAGCAAAAUUUUAAGCCCAUUUUUUGGGCCAAACCAGGCCUGGGCUUAGCAAAUGGGCCUAAAUUUUUAGUCAAGCUCGACCUAAACCCGAUCCGGCCCAUGCUCACCUCUAGAUCAGAGCUGCCCUCGCUUUGCAUUUCUUUGAGAUUCAGUCUUAUCUACUGUUGAUUGCCCACUCAAUGGAGGGUUGAGUAGAAAGAUUUGGUGAAGCAAGCUAAGCUAUCAAUCAAGGUUGGAGAAAGCUUAGGAGGUCACAAUGCAUAAUUAUUUAAAUGUAAUUCUAAUAUUUAAAUAAAAUUUAUUAAUAUAGUAUUAACAAGCCCUAAAUGUAAUGAUUAUAUACUAUUACAUUUUUAAGAAGAGAAAACAUGUUUGAACCUUAAAAACAUCAUUAUUAAAAAUGAUAAUUACAAAUUUUAAAAUAUAAAAAAUAUAAUUAAAAAUUAAUUUUAAACCCGAGCUGGAUAAAAUUCUAAUUUUAGAUAACGAUACUAAUAAGAAAUCAAUAUUAAAAUGAAAAUGAAAAGUAAUUUAAUAUAAUUUUUGAGUCUUGGGCAAAGGCACUCAAUGAAUGCUUGGAAAGAAAUAAUGCAACUUGGUGAUAGCUUUUGUUGGAGUAAUAUGCUCUUAUUAUAGUUUUAUGUUUUUAUCUUGCAAAAACAACAUAUUGGAGUUUUCGGCAUGAUUUUUUCUUAAUACUUUACAUGAAAAAUAAUAAUGGGACUUAAAUUGCUACAAUAUUACAACACAAAGUUACAAUAAGAGCUUAUAACUCAACAAAGGCUAUCAAUAAAUAAUCUCAGGCAAGCUAAAGAGAAAUGUUGAGAAUACCACCCGAAUAGUGACUGACUUUAAAAGUUGAAAACCCGAAGCUAUAUUAUCUCAAACGAAAUCAAACCAUAAACAUUAAAAUUUUCAAGUCUACUAGUUACUGUAAAAAAUUCAGCUCCAACAGACACCAAAUGAGCCUUUGAUCGAAGAAAGUACGAAAAAUAGUCUAGGUAAACCAAGCUUCCAAACUUACUUAUCUUAUCUUUAAUUUGCAGUGAAAUUCAAAAUUAAGAUUUUGUUUAUUUCACUUGGAACAACUUUCAAAAAAUUAUUUUUGAAAAAUGAAUUGGUUUUUCGAAAUAGAUGAUAUUUUAUUGUGUCAAAAUUUUAUUCAUUGUAGGAAAACUUUUUUUAAAUCAUUUUCUUAGAGUUAUUUUUAGUUAAAUAAACAUAACAUAAAUAUAUUUGUUACAAAAAAUUAUACUAGUAUUUUCUUUUGACAAUUAAAAUUUAUUUUAUGGUAAGACAAUAUUUUAUAAUAAUUAAUAUCAUAUAUAUACGUAAUAAAAAUCAUGUUUAAUUAAAAUUUAAUUAAAAUUAGAUGUAUUAAUAAAGCUACUCCUCCACAACCCGCAUCCGCAACAGCACCAGCACCAGCACCAGCACCAGCAUCAGCACCAUGGGACAACUAUUGGGUUUCCUCCACCUGCCUCUAUCGCUCCUCCUCAGUAUUACCCCCAAGCCUACCAGACCGUGCCGGGUAUUCUACAAAUAUGAAAAAACCUUCUUCUCUUUUUAUUAGCUUAUCGAAAUGAAGGAUUUUGAGAUUUGGGCUUUUGUUAGAUGGAUGGUUAAUGAUAUUUUUUAGAUGAAAGAUACAAGUUUUUUAAUGUUUUAGAAGAAAAGGUGUUUAAAUAUUAGGAGUUUUUUAGCAGAGAAAGAAGAUAAAUAAAUGCAUAGAGAUACAUUAGCAAUAUUAUUUGGAUUUGGUUGUCUAAUGUAAUGAAGAAUUUUUUAAGGGUGACCUGAGUAGGUGUGGCAAGAUUCAAAGUUUUUUCUAUUAUAGCAGAUAUAUAUAUAUUAAUGGUUUAAGAAGACUAGAAGUCGGUUUCAAAGGAAGAUGAGAAAUAAAAGCAUUUAUAUAUAUGAUAUGUCAUUAAUUCAUAAACCAAAUAUAUAAAGUAUGUAAAAGUGUCAGGGGUUAAUCAUGGUGUUUUGACAAUCCGGUAACCUUCAACUUGAAGAAAACCUUAGGUUUCAAAAAUUUAUGUGAAGAGUUAGAAUGGUAUGCUUCAUGGAUCUGAAUAACUAGAACAGUGUAAGAGUGGUAUAUUGUGUCAAGUUUGGUUUCUUGUAUAUAAUUGUAUCGAAAACAAUGUUACAUGAGUUAAAAUGAAUGUUCAUCCAAUUUAACAAAGCCUGCAUUAUGUUGAUCAAAAUUUUUAAUUCAUGUUGAGGUUUCUUCCGUGAUAUCUUUGAUGUCAAGGUUAUGAUGUUGCUGAAGGGACACCUGUAAGAGAUAAGCCACCGUGCUGUGGCAUUGGAUUCGGAUGGUUCUUGUAAGUGUACAUAGUUUUCUUUGUUUUUAAAGAGUUCUUUACAUAUGAAGUAAAACAAGUAGCGACUUGAUGGAUAUGUCAUUAAGCUUUAACUUAAGCAAAUCAUUUUCCUUCAUCUCUAAUUGCCAUUUCUUUAAAAGAAAAAGAGGAAGUUUUGUAGUUUACAGUUUGGACAAAUGGAAGUUAAUAUAAUGCACUAUUUGGAUGGACUAUGGAGAUAUCCAAUCAUAUUGGAUGAGUUAUAAGAAACCUGUGAGUUCAUAUUGGGUUUACUUUAUAUCAUAAUUAGAUUGUUGAGCUGGCUGUCAUACUUAGAUGGUAUUUCACGUUGCUACUUGUUAAACUAUACCACUUUCACAUUCAUACGUGAAAUGGCUGGGAUUUAGUGCCAUUCUACUUAGCAGCCUCGUGUAAUACACAGGUGAAAUGUUUAUGUCUUCAUGUCACCUUAAAGUUCCCAUUUCCAUGACGGUAUUGUUAAGUAAAGACUGGUACAUACCCCAAAAUACGGAAAUUGUUUUGGAUGUAUACUAUACUUUACCAUGCAUGAUUUUUUACAAGUUUGCAUGGUAUUUUAUCAUUAUAUUGGUCUUUAUUUUCUAUACUCGCAGCUUCCAUUAAUAUAUUUUUAUGAAUUUUAUCAUUAUGCUGGUUUGAAGGUUCAUCAUUGGUUUCUUCAUUGGGGGCCAUCCCUGGUAUAUUGGAUUCUUUGUUUUACUUUGUGCAAGGAUAGACGACAGAGAGAAAGCAGGAUAUAUUGCAUGCACAAUUGCCGUGAGUAUCUUUUCUAUCAUUAUUUUUUUCUUUUCCAAUUUUAUGAAAGCCAUCCUUCCUGCCUUGUAUUGAUCAUCAAUUUAACCAUUAUAUAUAUGUAUCUUAUGUAUUUGUACCAUGCUUUAUCUUCAAUGCAAAUAUAAGUUAAACUACAAAGAUUGGAUUGUUAAAAAAAGUUUAAAAUGUUAAAAAAAUUGAAAAUUUUGAUUUUGUAAGAAUGAUAGAAAACCAAGGCCAGUGCUUGCAUAUGUUAUCUACUACAUGCACAAUCGGGUCGAUGUCUGUAUAUGUUUCAUGUUUAGAAAUCGUGUUCAAUUGGGUUACGAUAUGUACAAUUGAAGUGUCAAUUUAUAAUUUCCUUAUCAAGAUUACACAUUUUUUUGUUAAUAUUCGGAAUCACUCAAUGGUUAUAAACCCUGAUUGGAUACUGUCCACAAAGUCUAGUUGGAACAUCCCUUGUAUUCUUUGUCCUUUCUAAGAACUUUCCUUUCCAUCAUUCUCGCUUCUGUUUUUUUUUUCUUCCCUCUACUUUAAGUCAUUAUCUAACGUAGAUAUCCCUUGUAUUCUUUGUCCUUUCUAUGGCAAUCGAGUCAAUUGAUGGCAAGCCAAAAAAACAAAAAGAGCAGCUAUCCUGUCUUACUCGAUUGCCAUCCCUCCUGUUAAACACCAUUAAGAAAAGGAAAAUUUUAGUUAAGCUUUAAAACAGCCAUGUUUUAACGAUGUUGGUGAUGGUGCUUGUGCAGGCCCUUCUUGCUACAAUUACAAUUAUUCUUAGUGCAACAAUUAAAGCUGGUGGGUGAUAAAGCACACCUCUUUUGACUGAGAGAUGUAUAGGUUCCCAAAUAAUAUGUAUAUGCUCCCCCCCCUCCCUUUAUUUUAUUUUAUUUCCAGUAAGUUAUUGUUUAUGAUAAUUUGCAACAAAUGUUUUUGUCAUUAUUUUGUUGGUGAAUGAUAAUAAGAUUAAGCUUUACUUUCUUAAGCUCCAAUUCCUUGGACGUUGGUGAUUUUUUUAUUAUAGUUGAGUCAUUGUAUGGUAUUAAUAUAAUUUAUGUCGCUUAAAAUUUAUAACUAAAAAUAUAAAAUUUAAAUUUUACUUCAAUUUAUUUGUAUUUAUAAAUGGUUAAUUCAAACUUAUUUUUUUCCUCAUUAUAUUUUAUAUUUAAAUUAACAUUUAAACUAUUUUUCAUUAGCAAUGUUGUUAAGAAUUAUAUUUUUUAGCACCAACAUCAAACUUACUAAAAUUAAAUUUUUAACUAUUUAAAAAAAAUAUUUUUAGCUAUUUAUCAUCAUAGAGAAAAAAAGGUGACGUCACCACGCCUCAUGCUUCGACACCACAAACUAGACUCUCAUCACCCGUAUUUAUCAUCGAUUCAAAUUCCAGAACUACCUAAAAAUAUAUCUUCAAACUUCCUCUGGUUAAGUUCAUUGAUAGUCAACUUACUAUCAUUUCUAAAAAAAAAACAAAUAAAUUGGUUAAUAGUAAUCUCAAUGAUUCAAUUUUAUUCUUACCAGUAUCUGUCCUUUAGAAAGGGGCUUAUAAAAGGGGUAGAGGUGAGUAAACUUGAGCUUCAGCUUUCCACAAACACCUUAAUUUGAAGACACAGUUCUCUCAUACUAAAAAAGACAUGGAAGUUUACCUUGUAAUUAGAGAUUUGGUUUCAUUGCUUGUUGUUGGGUUAUUAAUGAUAUGGGGAUGCAGAACUUUAAACUGGGUAUGGCUGGCCCCAAAAAGGCUCGAAAGCUGCUUGAGACAACAGGGUUUUGCAGGGAAUCCUUACAGGUUCCUUUCUGGUGACAUAAAAGAGCUCUCAACUAUGAGCAGACAAACAAGAGCCAAACCUAUGCCUCUUAGUGAUGAUAUUGGGCCUUAUGUUGUUCCUUUUCAACAUCAAACUGCUAACCAGUAUGGUAUGUUUUUUUUGUUUAAUCUGCAAUUUAUGAUAAUUCUUUGUUAUUUAUGUAUGGAAUUUAUUGGGAGGAAAUGCAGGAAAGAAUUCAUUUACGUGGUUUGGUCCAAGACCAAGGGUGAACAUUACGGACCCUGAAAAAAUAAGAGAAAUACUUAACAAAUUUAAUGACUUCCAGAAGAUACAUACCAAUCCACUGCUUAAUUUGCUUGUAAGCGGCCUUGCUAACCUCGACGGAGACCGAUGGAGCAAGCGUAGAAAAAUCAUAAACCCUGCAUUUCAUCAAGAUAAGUUGAAGGUAUAGAAUAGUGAUGGGUAAUCAGACUUUACAGAAAACAUCAUACUUAAACCUAUGCUUUUCUGAUUUAGAAAUAAUUGGAUGCAGAAUAUGUUGCCAGCAUUUUAUCAAAGUUGUAGUGACAUGUUAAGCAAAUGGGAGAAGAUGGUGUGUACAAAAGGAUACAGUGAGUUAGAUGUGUGGCCUUAUCUCGUAGAUUUGACAAGAGAUGUGAUUUCCCGAUCUGCUUUUGGAAGCAGCUUCGAAGAAGGCAAACGAAUUUUCCAAUUACUAGAGGACCAACUCGUUCACAUAAUCAAAUUAAUACAAACUGUUUACAUUCCAGGAUGGAGGUAACCGUCAACUUAAUUUACUUGAAAAAGGUUGCAAAUGUUGGAAUUCGCUAAAUUCGUGUUUGUUUUCUUGAAGGUUUUUGCCAACGAAGACAAACAGGGAGAUGAAGAUGAAACACAGGGACAUAAAAGAGUUGCUUAUGGAAAUGAUAAAGAGAAGGGAGAAGGCAAUUAAAGCAGGGGAAGAGAGCAAUGAGGACUUGUUGGACAUACUUGUGGAAUCCAAUAUCAGAGAAAUGGAAGCAAAGAAUAUUGGGAUGAGCAUUGAGGAUGUGAUUGAGGAAUGCAAGCUGUUUUACUUAGCUGGCCAAGAGACCACUUCGGUCUUACUGGUGUGGACUAUGGUUUUAUUAGCAAGGUAUCCCGAUUGGCAAAGUAAAGCAAGAGAGGAGGUUUUGCAUGUUUUGGGUGACAGUAAACCUGACGCUGAUGGCCUUAAUCGUCUCAAAGUUGUAAGUCCCUAGCAUGUCUUUUGAAGGUCCGAUCAAUGAGGUCGACAACUCAAAAACUUUGUUUCUUUUUUCGCUAAUUCUACAGGUAACAAUGAUAUUGUACGAGGUUCUAAGGCUGUACCCACCGGUGGUUGAGCUAGAACGUUCCGUUCCAAAAGAAAUAAAACUGGGGAAUUUGUUGUUACCAGUAGGAACAGAAGUUUCGGUUCCGAUCCUGCUGAUCCACCAUGACAAAGAUCUUUGGGGCGAUGACGCACGGGAAUUUAAGCCAGAGCGGUUCGCGGAAGGGGUUUCCAAAGCAACAAAGAGUCAAGUCACGUUUCUGCCAUUCGGAUGGGGUCCUAGGAUCUGUAUUGGCCAAAAUUUUGCUAUGAUGGAAGCCAAAAUGGCGAUGGCUAUGAUUCUCCAACGCUUCUGGUUCGAGCUUUCCCCUUCCUAUGCUCACUCUCCUUACGGCAGGGCAACUCUUCGUCCACAGCAUGGUGCACAGAUAAUUUUACAUAAACUUGGCUGUAAUUGAAUUGUUAUGUAAACAAAUCUUUGUGAAAACAUAGCGUUUUAGUUUAUCGUCAAAGUCCGGUGUCUGUAAUGGUACAAAUUCGAUGCAUGAAUAGUAAAGUUUGAGAUGUUUGGUGAAGUCCGAAAUAAUAUGCAGAAAUUGAGUGUGGUAAUUAUCAAUCAAAUAAUUCGGUACAAAGACUUACAUGGAAAUUAAAGCAGGGGGAGUUGAAAAUGACUACUCUGCUUUGGGCAUCAAUUUAGAAAGAUUUAAAGUACAAAUGUGUUAUUAGUUAAGGGAUUUGUUUUAAAGAGGGAAUGACAAUUAAACCUCAUGGUUGAUUUGUGGAAGGGAACCGAUGAUGGGAUGAUUAUUCUUAGUGGUAAAAAAAACUAUUGUGGAGGUUAUUAUACUUGUUAUCAUCGGCUUAAAAUUCGAAUGGGUUCAAGUCGGAUUAUAUCGAGCUUGUAAGAUGAGUUCACGGAUCAAAUUUGCAUAAUAAAAAUACUUAAAUGAAAAAAAUUUCUAUUUUAGAGGGACCAGAGCCCCUACCAAUUCCCGGCUCAGCUACUAAACAAUACCCAUAUCAUAUAAAUAAAUACCACCAUAAAAAAAACUCAAAGAAAAACACUGACAAAUGAUAAAUAGAUAGAUGUUGGAUAAGUGUCCAAAAUAUGAUUUAAGUGAAGAUACAUGGGGUAGGUGUCACGGAAAUGUGAAUACAAGAAUACUACUAAUGGGAUGUGUACAGUUGAAUGUAGGGAGCAAAAAGAGGAGUGAAUCAUUUUGGUAACAUUGGGACAAGAAACAUAAUGAACAAAAUGGAAGGAGAGGAAGCUAGUAAAAGAAAUUUUUUGGGUCAUAUAAUUUGUUUGGCAUAUAUUUUUAUAAUUUUUAAAUAUCAUUUUGGACUUGAAUUAUAAUUUUUUUAUAUAUUAUCUUAAAAUUGUAUAAAUUUUAAGGAGUUAAAACAAAAUUAUUCUAUUUUUAGAUGGUUAAAGUAGAGAUGAUAAUGGGUUGAGCUAUUCGGCCCAGCCUGACGAUCCACCCGAAAAAUAGGAAGGUUUGGGUAAAAAUAUAGGCUUGAAAUAUGAAUUUGAGCAAAAAAAGAGGCCCGUUUAGAAAAUGGGCCGAGCCUCGGGUAAAACCUUUUGGGUCUAGACCUGACCUAAAUUAUAUAUUAAAUAUAUAUAUUUUUAUUUUUAAUCAAAUAUACUUUUGUUUUAUUAUUAAUUUGGUUAUUAUUUUAGUUCUAAUUUGUUUCAAUUUUAAUAUAACUACUUUUUAUUAUAUUUUCAAUUUGUGCAUUGUUUUAAGAAUUAUUUUAGUCUCAUUAUUUAUUUAUUUUUUAUUUUAAUAUUUGUUUUAAAAUUUUUUAUUUAUUGAAAUAAGCUAAAAAAAUUAAUAUGGGUUGGACCAGACCGGGCUCGGGCCUAGUAAUUUUCUUUUGGGCCGGACUUAAACAAAUUUUUAAGCCCAUAUUUUGAAUUGGGUCCUACACUAGAAAAUGGACCUAAAAUUUUGUAUUACCUUUAGGUCAGAGCUAUCCUCGUUUUGCAUUUCUUUGAGAUUCAGCCUUAUUUACUUUUGAUUGCCCACUCAAUAGAGGGUUGAGUAGAAAUAUUUGGUGAAGCAAGCUAAGCUAUCAAUCAAGGUGUGCAUAAUUAUUUAAAUGUAAUUCUAAUAUUAAAAUAAAAUUUUUAUUAAUAUAGUAUCAACAAGCAUUAAAUGUAAUCAUCAUAUACUAUUAAAUUUUCAAUAAGAGAAAACAAGCUUGAACUUUAAAAACGAUGUUACUAAAAACAUUAUCACAAAUCUUGAAAUAUAAAAAAUACUUUUUAAUAUAAUAAAAAAAUAAUUUUAAAACCGAGAUGAAUAAAAUUCUAAUUUUAAUUAAUGAUACCAACAACAAAUCAAUAUUUAAAUUAAAAUUUAUCUUAAUUUAAUAUAAUAAAAUUGGACUUGAAUAUUGAAUUUUUGAGUCUUGGGCAAAGUAGAGGUGCUCAUGGGCCGGGUUGGGUCGGGUUUGGGAAAAAUUUCGGCCCGCAUCCUAGGCUCGGGCUCGGCCCGACCCAAAUAUGGGCCUAAAAUUUUGUCUAGGCCUAGCCCGGCCCGGCCCAACUCAUUUUUUUUAAUAAACACCAAAAAUUUAUUUUGAAAAUAAAAAAAUAAAAAAAGUAUUUUAAAAAUAUUUUAAAAUUUUUAAAAAAUAUAUAUAUUUAUUAUAUAUUCGGGCCGGGCCAGGCCCGAGCCAAAAAAGUGGCGCCCAAGGCCCGGCCUGUUUUCUAAACGGGACUCAUUUUUUACCCAAACCCAUAUUUCGGGCCUAUAUUUCUACCCGAAUCUCUCAUAUUUAGGGCGAACCGUCGGGCCGGACCGGGCCGCCCGGCCAUGAACACCUCUAGGACAAAGUCACUCAAUGAAUGCAUGGAAAGAAAUAAUGCAACUUGGUGAUAGCUUUUGUUGGAGUUAUAUGCUUUUUUUUUACGUAGUGGAACUUUCGGUGGAUUUUCAAGUUUCAUGAACUUUAUACUCUAUGCUUUACGUGAAAAAAAAAAUUCAUUGGACUUAAAAGUCUACCAAAAGUUUCACUAAAAAAAAAACCAUUGCUACAAGAUUACAACAUAAAGUUACAAUAAGAGCUUAUAACUCAACAAAGGCUAUCAAUAAAUAAUCUCAAACAAAUUAAAGAGAAAUGUUGAGAGUACCACUCGAAUAGUGAUUAACUUUAAAAAUUGAAAACCCAAAGUUAUAAUAUCCCAAACGAAAUCAAACCAUAAACAUUAAAUUUUUCGAGUCUACUAGAUACUGCAAAAAAUUCAGCUCCAACAGACACCAAAUGAACCUAUGAUCGAAGAAAAUACGAAAACUAGUCUAGCUAAAUCAAGCUGCCAAACUUACUUUUUAUCUUAUCUUUAAUUUGCUGUGAAAUUCAAAACUAAGGUUUUGUACUUAGAACAACUUUCAAAAAGUUAAUUUUGAAAAAUGGAUUGAAUUUUCAAAAUAGAUGAUAUUUUAUUGUGUUAAAAUUUUAUUCGUUGUUUGAAAAAAAAUUUAAAUCAUUUUCUUAGAAUUAUUUUUAGUGAAACAAACAUAUCAUAAAUAUAUUUGUUAUAAAAUAUUUAUAUUAAUAUUUUCUUUUAACAAUUAAAAUAUAUUUUGUGAUAAGGUAUAUUUUAUAAUAAUUAAUAUCAUAUAUACUUAAUAAUAAAUCAUGUCUAAUUAAAAUUUAAUUUCAAUUAAAUAUAUUAAUAAAGCUACAUAUAAUCAUAUUUUAUAUAAUAAAAAUAUUAAUAUAAAUAUUUUUUUAAUAAUAUAUUAAAGAAUAUUUAAAAUUUAAAUUUAUUAUUACUAAGAUUAAUUAUUAAAAUAAAAAUGUAAUGUUAAAUAAUUUAUCCAAUGAUAAGUUAUAUUAAUAAUUUAUUAUAUUAUUAAAUAUAAAUAAUUAAAUAUGUAUGUUUAAUAAUAUUAUGUUAUAAUAUUUAUUAUUAAUAUUUUAAUAUUUUUAAACAACCAUGUUUUAAAGAUGGUGGUGAUGGUGAUGGUGCAGGCCCCCUUGUUACAAUUACAAUAUUUUUAAGUGGGAUGCAUGUAAUAUAUUGUUAGGGUUUUAGAGUGUGUGGUCUUUAAAAGGGUUAAAUUAUAUAUUUAUAUAAUAUGAUUAUUGUUUAUAAAUAUAAUAUUGUAGAUAAACUUUUAUGCAUGUCAAUAUGUAUCCUACUCUGGGGUUAAUAUGUAUUUUUAGAUAUGGAUUCACCUAUAUAAUAGUAUGAAUCCAUCAUGCGGUCUCAUGAAAUAUACAAACACAUAUCGUGCGAACACAAAGUACGAACAAUAAAAAGUACAAAUCAAGACCAAUUGAGUAAUUGAAUAGCAGAUAGGUAAUAAUGACUAUCCCCUCUUGUUUGAAUUUAUUUUAUUUCCAGUGAGUUAUCGUUUAUGAUAAAUUUACAACAAAUGUUUUUAUCAUUAUUUUGUUGGUAAAUGAUAAUAAGAUUAAACUUUACUUUCUUAAGCUCCUUCAAUUCUUUGGACGUUAGCAAGUAAACUUGAGCUUCAGCAUUCCACAAACACCUUAAUUUGAAGACACAGUUCUCCCAUACUAAAAACAACAUGGACGUUUACCUUGUAAUUAGAGAUUUGGGCUCAUUGUUAGGUUAUUAAUGAUACGGGGAUGGAGAGCUUUAAACUGGGUAUGGCUGGCCCCAAAGAGGCUCGAAACGUGCUUGAGACUAGAGGUCCAGGCAAAUUUUUAGGCCCAUUUUUUAGGCCUGGACUGGGCCCGACUCGAAAUAUGAGCUUAAAAAUUUGUCUAAGUUCGGUCCAAAAGAAAAUUGUUAAGCCUAAGCCCGGCCCAUAUUAAAUUUUACAACACCAAAAAACUAUAUAUUUAAUAUAUAUAUUUGAUUAAAAAGUAUAUUUAAUUAAAAAUAAAAAUAUAUAUUUAAUAUAUAAUUCGGGCCGGGCCGAACUCGGGCCAAAAAAGUUUUACUCGGGGCUGGUCCGUUUUCUAAACAGACCUCGUUUUUUUGUCAAAAUCCAUAUUUUAGGCUUAUAUUUUUACCCGAAACUUCCUAUUUUUCGGGUGAACCGUCAGGCCGGACUAGGUAGCCCAACCAAUGAUCACCUCUACUUGAGACAACAGGGUUUUGCAGGGAAUUCUUACAGGUUCGUUUCUGGCGACAUAAAAGAGCUCUUCACUAUAAGCAUACAAACAAGAGCCAAACCUAUGCCUCUUAGUGAUGAUAUUGGGCCUUAUGUUGUUCCUUUUCAACAUCAAACCGUCAAUCAGUAUGGUAUGUUUUUUAAUUUAAUCUGCAAUUUAUGAUAAUUCUUUGCUAUUUAUGUAUGGAAUUUAUUGGGAGGAAAUGCUGGGAAGAAUUCAUUUACGUGGAUUGGUCCAAGAUCAAGGGUGAACAUUACGGACCCGGAAAAAUAAGAGAAAUACUUAACAAAUUUAAUGACUUCCAGAAGGUACGUACCAAUCCACUGCUUAAUUUGCUUGUAAGCGGCCUUGUUAACCUCGAAGGAGACCGAUGGAGCAAGCAUAGAAAAAUCAUAACCCUUCAUUUCAUCAAGAUAAGUUGAAGGUAUAGAAUAGUGAUGGGUACUUAGACUUAAUUUACAGAAAACAUCAUACUUAAAUCUAUGCUUUUCUGAUUUAGAAAUGAUUGGAUGCAGAAUAUGUUGCCAGCAUUUUAUCAAAGUUGUUGUGACAUGUUAAGCAAAUGGGAGAAGAUGGUGUGUACAGAAGGAUACAGUGAGUUAGAUGUGUGGCCUUAUCUUGUAGAUUUGACAAGAGAUGUGAUUUCCCGAUCUGCUUUUGGAAGCAGCUUCGAAGAAGGCAGACGAAUUUUCCAAUUACUAGAGGACCAACUCGUUCUCACAAUCAAAUUAAUACAAACUGUUUACAUUCCAGGAUGGAGGUAACCCUCAACUUAAUUUACUUGAAAAAGGUUGCAAAUGUUGGAAUUGGCUAAAUUCGUGUUUGUUUUCUUGAAGGUUUUUGCCAACAAAGACAAACAGGGAGAUGAAGAUGAAACACAGACAUAAAAGAGUCGCUUAGGGAAAUGAUAAAGAGAAGGGAGAAGGCAAUUAAAGCAGGGGAAGAGAGCAAUGAGGACUUGUUGGACAUACUUGUGGAAUCCAAUAUCAGAGAAAUGGAAGCAAAGAAAAAGGGGAUGAGCAUUGAGGAUGUGAUUGAGGAAUGCAAGCUGUUUUACUUUGCUGGCCAGGAGACCACUUCGGUCUUGCUGGUGUGGACUAUGGUUUUAUUAGCAAGGUAUCCCGAUUGGCAAAGUAAAGCAAGAGAGGAGGUUUUGCAUGUUUUGGGUGACAGUAAACCUGAUGCUGAUGGCCUUAAUCGUCUCAAAGUUGUAAGUCCCUAGCAUGUCUCUUGAAGGUCCGAUCUCUGAGGUCGACAACUCAAAAACUUGGUUUCUUUGUUUCGCUAAUUCUACAGUUAACAAUGAUAUUGUACGAGGUUCUAAGGCUGUACCCACCAGUGAUUGAGCUAGGACGUUCCGUUCCAAAAGAAAUAAAACUGGGAAAUUUGUUGUUACCAGCAGGAACAGACGUUUCGGUUCCAAUCCUGCAGAUCCACCAU
rnacentral:lncRNA from 1 species